GCGCGUAAAUUGCCCGAAUCCUGACACAGGGAGGUAGUGACAAGAAAUAACAAUACAGGGCUAUCUUAGUCUUGUAAUUGGAAUGAGUACAAUUUACAUCUCUUCACGAGGAUCAAUUGGAGGGCAAGUCUGGUGCCAGCAGCCGCGGUAAUUCCAGCUCCAACAGCGUAUAUUAAAGUUGUUGCAGUUAGAACGCUCGUAGUCGGAUUUCGGGGCAGUCCGACCGGUCUGCCGAUGGGUAUGCACUGGCCGGAGUGUCCUUUUUGCCGGAGACCGUGCCUACUCUUAACUGAGCGGGGGCGGGAGACGGCACUUUUACUUUGGAAAAAUCAGAGUGUUUCAAGCAGGCAGCUCGCUCUUGCAUGGAUUAGCAUGGGAUAAUGAAAUAGGACUUUGGUGCUAUUUUGUUGGUUUCGAACACCGAAGUAAUGAUGAGUAGGGACAGUCAGGGGCACUCGUAUUCC
rnacentral:rRNA from 1 species